rnacentral:lncRNA from 1 species
UUUCAUCAGUAUUGACCACUGUGGUAGCAUGUUGUCCGAUUGUUGUUUCUUUUAUAUCCUCACUGGAUGCAUUUUGUGAGCUUGUAACAUCAUCUUCACCAUCUUGGACUUCUUCUGACAUUUUGAGGUCUUUUUCUUUUGCUUGAUUUUCCUCUUUGCUCACUGUUUCAUCCUCAUUCAAUUCAGAUUCAACCUUCUCUAAUCCUGUCACUUCAUGGACUUCCUUAACCAGGGAGCUUUCAGACUUUUCUGUUUGACCAUCAUCAUUGACUACAUCCUCCUUUUUUUCUAUGGUUUCGACACUAGAUUUGAUUUCUUCAGUGUCUUCCUCUAUACUUUCUCUAGUUUCAAAAAACUCAGGUUCUUUACCUUCUUCUUGGUAGUUCUUUUUUUGCAAGUCUUCUUCUAAUGCUGCAACCUGUGAGGUUGUUACAUUGUCCUCACCUUGACCUUCUGCCGACAUGUUGACCUGAUCCUUUUCUUGAUCUUCAUCUUUAAAAGUUUCUAUUGCUUUUAUCCCUUCUUCAGAUUCAACCUUUUCCGAACUAGUCUCAUCACAUACCUCUUUGACAGAGUGGAUAGGAGGCGUUUCCAUUUGAUCAUCAUCAUGCUCAAUAGGCUCUUUGUUUUUUUCUUCAGUUUCUGUUUUCUCUUCUUGAGAUUCCACUUGUGCUGAUGUGAAAACAUCAGUUGUGAUGGCAUGUGGCAACUCUCCUUGCUCCACUUUUUCUUUUGUUUUAACAUUUGUGCUUAUAAGUUCAUUAUCUUCCUCCAUGCUUUCUCUAGUUUCAAAAAAUACAUCCUCAGAGGCUGCAACUGUAUCCUGUGAGCAUAUAACUUCAUCCUCACUUUGGUCUUUUUCUGGUAUGUUGAGCUCUUGUUCCUUUUCUUGAUAUUCAUCUUUGCUUAAAAUUUCUAUUUCUUUCUCAUUCUGAUACAUAUCGGAAUUUAUCCCUUCUUCAGAUACAGUCUUCUUUAAGUCAGUCUCUUCACAUACUUCCUGUUGCUCCUUUUCAUCUGUUUCAACACUUGGUUUGAUUUCUUCAGUAUACAUCUCUUGCUCAAAAAUUAUGCUGGCACUUUCUUCUAUUUUAUCUUUUGCUCCAUUAUCAUCAUACUGCUCGCUUGCCUAUAUGAAGAGUGUAUUUUGAGUACAUGGGCAGAAUGGACAAUACAGAACUUGGUAAGUCUAAUGUAUAGUCAAAGUUUGUAAAACAAUCUGUGUAACAGCUUAGUUUAUUGGUCUCUUUUUCAAAAGAAAAUUAUGAGCAGCAUUUGCUCUAAAGUCUAAACUACUUUAUAAAACGGGUUUCCCUUAGAAUUUAUCAUUUUCAUAAAUAUCCACAACUUGCUUUUCUUCUAGUUCUAUACCCCUCCCCAAUUGUACUGUUCAAUUGAAUAAAUCAAGUUCUGUAUUUGAAGUUACACUUAAUAUGCUCUAUAAAAUAUGUAUUUUAUCUUGUUUAGGGCCCUUAAAAUGGUCUAAUAUAUAUAUAUNNNNNNNNNNNNNNNNNNNUAUAUAUAUAUAUAUAUAUAUAUAUAUUUGUAAGAGAUACUUGAACUACCGAGUUGAACAACUUAUGCAUUUGUUACUUUCUCAAACACAUGAGAUGAGAAAUUUUGUAGCAGACAACAUAAUGUCUUGAUAAUUUUAGCAUUGCAAGUUUAGUUGGAAUGAUGUACAAGUAAAACCUUUUGAAAUAAUUAGAGAUUACUUAAGAUGAACAUAAAUUACCUCUUGAGCAUGAAUUGAUUUGUCUUCUAUUUCUUCCUUGAGGAUCUCUUUGGUCAAUGCACUAUCAUCUUUGCUCUCCUCAAAAUCAACCACUGUGGUAACAUGUUGACCAAUUGUUGACUCUUGUAUAUCCUCACACGUUGCAUCUUCUGAACUUGUAACGGCAUCCCCACCACCUUGGACUUCUUCUGGCAUUUUGAGUUCAUGUUCCUUUUCUUGAUUUUCCUCUUUGCUCACUAUCUCAUUCUCAUUCAAUUCAGGUUUAGCCUUCUCUGAUCCUGUCACUUCACACACCUCCUUAACCAAUGGGCUUUCAAACUCAUCAUUGACUAUAGCAUCUUCCUCAAUCUUUUCUUCAUUUUCCAUAGUUUCUUUUUUAGGUUCUAUUUCUGUUGAGCUGCAAACAUCAGUAGUAAUGACAUGCAGCAACCCUUGUUGCUCCAUAUUUUCUUUUGUUUCUAUACUAGAUUCGAUUUCUUCAAUGUUUUCCUCUACACUUUCUCUCGUUUCAACAACUUCAGGUUCUUUACCUUCUUCUUGGUAGUUCUUUUCUUGCAAGUCUUCUUCUAAGGCUGCAACCUGUGAGCUUGUUACAUUAUCCUCGCCUUGACCUUCUGUUGACAUGUCAACCUGAUCCUUUUCUUGUUCUUCAUCCUUGAAAGUUUCAAUAGCUUUUACCUCUU